UAAUACGUAGGGGGCAAGCGUUGUCCGGAUUUAUUGGGCGUAAAGCGCACGCAGGCGGUUUCGUAAGUUUGGAGUGACAGUACCCGGCUCAACCGGGUGAGGCCUUUGAAAACUGCGGGACUUGAGGACCAGAGAGGGACAUAGAAUUCCGGGUGGAGUGGUGAAAUGCGUAGAUAUCCGGAGGAAUACCAAAGGCGAAGGCAGUGUCCUGGCUGGUAACUGACGCUCAGGUGCGAAAGCUAGGGGAGCGAACAGGAUUAGAUACCCUGGUAGUCCUAGCCGUAAACGAUGACCACUAGGUGUACGGAGUAUCGACCCUUCGUGUGCCGACGUUAACACAUUAAGUGGUCCGCCUGGGGAGUACGGUCGCAAGAUUA
rnacentral:rRNA from 1 species